rnacentral:lncRNA from 1 species
AAGGAAAGUGCUUGGACGUGCUUGCUGUCCAACUUGGAUCGUUGGAGCGUUUAGGAGUAUUGGACAUGAGUAAUGCUCAUGUAUAAUUUGGGAGUAUUGGACGUACUUUUGGUCACCUGGUUGGUGGUAAUAGCGGCAGGUUGCUGAUAGGAGCAUAUUUAUGUGACUGAGUUAGCUUGUUCUCAUGCAUUUAUGUUGUUAUUCCUUAGUUGUUUUAGUGUUCAAAGUCAUUUUUGUGCAAUUUCAGGUUCUAAGGACAAAGUAUGCAAAAAUGUGCAUUUUGGA